AGCUAUAAGUUCUCUGUAKCGCAGCUAACGCAUUARGCACUCCGCCUGGGGAGUACGACCGCAAGGUUGAAACUCAAAGGAAUUGACGGGGGCCCGCACAAGCGGUGGAGCAUGUGGUUUAAUUCGAAGCAACGCGAAGAACCUUACCAGGUCUUGACAUACUCGUGCUAUCCUUAGAGAUAAGGAGUUCCUUCGGGACACGGGAUACAGGUGGUGCAUGGUUGUCGUCAGCUCGUGUCGUGAGAUGUUGGGUUAAGUCCCGCAACGAGCGCAACCCUUAUUACUAGUUGCCAUCAUUAAGUUGGGCACUCUAGUGAGACUGCCGGUGAUAAACCGGAGGAAGGUGGGGAUGACGUCAAAUCAUCAUGCCCCUUAUGACCUGGGCUACACACGUGCUACAAUGGAUGGUACAACGAGUCGCCAACCCGCGAGGGUGCGCUAAUCUCUUAAAACCAUUCUCAGUUCGGAUUGCAGGCUGCAACUCGCCUGCAUGAAGUCGGAAUCGCUAGUAAUCGCGGAUCAGCACGCCGCGGUGAAUACGUUCCCGGGCCUUGUACACACCGCCCGUCACACCACGGAAGUUGGGAGUACCCAAAGUAGGUUGCCUA
rnacentral:rRNA from 1 species